rnacentral:pre_miRNA from 1 species
UCCAACUUUAAUCGUUCGUCUUAUUUAAAAAAAUAAAAUUAAAAAAAUAUAAGUCACGCAUAAAAUAUUAUUUAUGUCUUAUAAUAAUAAUAAUAAUAAUAAUAAAUUUUAAAUAAGACGGACGGUUAAAGUUGGAUACGGAAAUUUAUGG